rnacentral:rRNA from 1 species
CCUACGGGCGGCUGCAGUGGGGAAUAUUGGACAAUGGGCGAAAGCCUGAUCCAGCCAUGCCGCGUGUGUGAAGAAGGCCUUCGGGUUGUAAAGCACUUUCAGUGGGGAAGAAAGCCUUGGGGCUAAUACCCUCGAGGAAGGACAUCACCCACAGAAGAAGCACCGGCUAACUCCGUGCCAGCAGCCGCGGUAAUACGGAGGGUGCGAGCGUUAAUCGGAAUUACUGGGCGUAAAGCGCGCGUAGGCGGUCUGAUAAGCCGGUUGUGAAAGCCCCGGGCUCAACCUGGGAACGGCAUCCGGAACUGUCAGGCUAGAGUGCAGGAGAGGAAGGUAGAAUUCCCGGUGUAGCGGUGAAAUGCGUAGAGAUCGGGAGGAAUACCAGUGGCGAAGGCGGUCUUCUGGACUGACACUGACGCUGAGGUGCGAAAGCGUGGGUAGCAAACAGGAUUAGAUACCCGGGUAGUC